rnacentral:rRNA from 1 species
GAUGAACGCUGGCGGCGUGCCUAAUACAUGCAAGUCGAGCGAACAGACGAGGAGCUUGCUCCUCUGACGUUAGCGGCGGACGGGUGAGUAACACGUGGAUAACCUACCUAUAAGACUGGGAUAACUUCGGGAAACCGGAGCUAAUACCGGAUAAUAUAUUGAACCGCAUGGUUCAAUAGUGAAAGACGGUUUUGCUGUCACUUAUAGAUGGAUCCGCGCCGCAUUAGCUAGUUGGUAAGGUAACGGCUUACCAAGGCAACGAUGCGUAGCCGACCUGAGAGGGGGGUCGGCCAAACUGGAAAUGAGACACGGUCCAGACUCCCACGGGAGGCAGCAGGUGGGAAUUUUCCGGAAUGGGCGAAAGGCUGAACGAGCAACGCCGGGGGAGUGAAGAAGGUCUUCGGAUCGUAAAACCCUGUUAUUAGGGAAGAACAAAUGUGUAAGUAACUAUGCACGUCUUGAAGGUACCCAAACAGAAAGCCACGGCUAAAUACGU